UGGGGAAUUUUGGACAAUGGGCGCAAGCCUGAUCCAGCCGUGCCGCGUGCGGGAAGAAGGCCUUCGGGUUGUAAACCGCUUUUGUCAGGGAAGAAAUCUUCUGAGUUAAUACCUCGGGAGGAUGACGGUACCUGAAGAAUAAGCACCGGCUAACUACGUGCCAGCAGCCGCGGUAAUACGUAGGGUGCAAGCGUUAAUCGGAAUUACUGGGCGUAAAGCGUGCGCAGGCGGUUUUGUAAGACAGAGGUGAAAUCCCCGGGCUCAACCUGGGAACUGCCUUUGUGACUGCAAGGCUUGAGUGCGGCAGAGGGGGAUGGAAUUCCGCGUGUAGCAGUGAAAUGCGUAGAUAUGCGGAGGAACACCGAUGGCGAAGGCAAUCCCCUGGGCCUGCACUGACGCUCAUGCACGAAAGCGUGGGGAGCAAACAGGAUUAGAUACCCUGGUAGUCCACGCCCUAAAACGAUGUCAACUGGUUGUUGGGAAGGUUCCCUCUCAGUAACGUAGCUAACGCGUGAAGUUGACCGCCUGGGGAGUACGGCCGCAAGGUU
rnacentral:rRNA from 1 species